AGUGAACGCUGGCGGUAGGCCUAACACAUGCAAGUCGAACGGCAGCACAGUAAGAGCUUGCUCUUACGGGUGGCGAGUGGCGGACGGGUGAGGAAUACAUCGGAAUCUACUUUUUCGUGGGGGAUAACGUAGGUAAACUUACGCUAAUACCGCAUACGACCUACGGGUGAAAGCAGUGGAUCUUCGGACCUUGCGCGAUUGAAUGAGCCGAUGUCGGAUUAGCUAGUUGGCGGGGUAAAGGCCCACCAAGUCGACGAUCCGUAGCUGGUCUGAGAGGAUGAUCAGCCACACUGGAACUGAGACACGGUCCAGACUCCUACGGGAGGCAGCAGUGGGGAAUAUUGGACAAUGGGCGCAAGCCUGAUCCAGCCAUACCGCGUGGGUGAAGGAGGCCUUCGGGUUGUAAAGCCCUUUUGUUGGGAAAGAAAAGCAGCAGGUUAAUACCCCGCUGUUCUGACGGUACCCAAAGAAUAAGCACCGGCUAACUUCGUG
rnacentral:rRNA from 1 species